rnacentral:rRNA from 1 species
GACGAACGCUGGCGGCGUGCCUAAUACAUGCAAGUCGAGCGCAGGAAGCUGACGGAACUCUUCGGAGGGAAGGCAGUGGAAUGAGCGGCGGACGGGUGAGUAACACGUAAGGAACCUGCCUCAAGGAUUGGGAUAACUCCGAGAAAUCGGAGCUAAUACCGGAUAGUUCAACGGACCGCAUGGUCCGCUGAUGAAAGGCGCUCCGGCGUCACCUUGAGAUGGCCUUGCGGUGCAUUAGCUAGUUGGUGGGGUAACGGCCCACCAAGGCGACGCUGCAUAGCCGACCUGAGAGGGUGAUCGGCCACACUGGGACUGAGACACGGCCCAGACUCCUACGGGAGGCAGCAGUAGGGAAUCUUCCACAAUGGACGAAAGUCUGAUGGAGCAACGCCGCGUGAGUGAUGAAGGUUUUCGGAUCGUAAAACUCUGUUGUAAGGGAAGAACACGUACGAGAGGGAAUGCUCGUACCUUGACGGUACCUUACGAGAAAGCCACGGCUAACUACGUGCCAGCAGCCGCGGUAA